CCUCCACAUAGCCAACCCCACACAGACUACCAACCAUGGAUAAGGGGAGGGUGUACACUGGUCAGACAUCUUUACCACCACGGUGCCCUAUUGCAGUUCCCAGACCUACAGAGGAAAUACGGUCUACCAAAUCAUGCAUUGUUCUCCUAUUUACAGCUGAAAGCAAUCUUGGUGCAUUCGACCGAACUCCCAGAACCGACGGAACGCAUGGAAAGACUAUGUGAGACCAUGGUUAUACC